rnacentral:lncRNA from 1 species
GCAUCCGCCAUGACACCCAUAACGUAGAAAACCUGCUAUCAGCCUUCCAAACUUUCAAUUUACCCCAUUUAUUCCACCUUUUCACCUUCUCAAUCUCCACCCACCCCAUUUACUUUAUCCACUUUACCAAAAACUUAUUUCAUUAUUCCUUCACUUAUUCACCUUCCAUUUUCACUUCUACUUAAACCACUCUUACCAUCACCACUUCCACCAUUCUUAC